rnacentral:lncRNA from 1 species
CUUUGGAAGCUGCUGCACAGGGGUUAACAACAAGCAACAACUCAGGUCGCAUUCUUGUCAACGGAAGGGAGGGCCAGGUGGAACCGCCAAGGGGGCCAUUUCUGGCUUUGCUGGAGGCUGUCAGCUUCUGGUGGGAGCCACAGCCUGAGGGCAGCCAGGAUGGCUCUGCUGGGAGGGACACCCUGCCCAACCCUGGGAGCAGGUGACGAAGGCUCCUGGAGGCAUGGUCACAUCCCUGGGUCCCAGAGGCAGGAACAAAGCCCCCAGGGCAGUGUUCAUCAAGAAAGGGCCUCCGGGUUUGUGUUUACUGGACAUGAAUUGAGCUGCUCUCCAGAGAUAAGAAAAAAAUAUUACAGCCCUGCUAUGUGGGCACCCCACGGCAGCCCCCGGGGUUAAGGGGCAGCUUUCUUUCCAAGGAAUCCCAUUGCCAAAGAUGAACCUUCAGAUGGGGAAACUGAGGACCCAGAGGAAGCAAGAGCAGCCCCAGGCCACACAACCCUCUUUUUAUUAUUCAUUCACUGACUACACUGCAGAGGUUGGACCCAUAUCUCAUUAUUUGAAUAGUAAAUUGUUUUUUCUUCCUGACCCUUGGUCUGUUGGGUCUCUCAU